AAUCCAUGGUGAGGGCACCUUCUCAAUAGAUCUUUGUAUCUCUCCCAUGCAUCAUAAAGUGUUUCUAAAUCCAUCUGCACAAAAGAAGAGAUAUCAUUCCUUAAUUU
rfam:Gossypium arboreum cultivar AKA8401 contig_34099_5, whole genome shotgun sequence.